ensembl:piRNA 21ur-435 ncRNA
UAAUUAGUGCGUAGCAAUGAA